rnacentral:rRNA from 1 species
GUAGUCAUAUGCUUGUCUCAAAGAUUAAGCCAUGCAUGUCUAAGUAUAAGCAACUUGUACUGUGAAACUGCGAAUGGCUCAUUAAAUCAGUUAUCGUUUAUUUGAUAGUACCUUACUACAUGGAUACCUGUGGUAAUUCUAGAGCUAAUACAUGCUAAAAACCCCGACUUCAGGAAGGGGUGUAUUUAUUAGAUAAAAAACCAACGCCCUUCGGGGCUCCUUGGUGAAUCAUAAUAACUUAACGAAUCGCAUGGCCUUGUGCCGGCGAUGGUUCAUUCAAAUUUCUGCCCUAUCAACUUUCGAUGGUAGGAUAGUGGCCUACCAUGGUUUCAACGGGUAACGGGGAAU